rnacentral:rRNA from 1 species
UACAGAGGAGCCAAGCGUUGUCCGGAUUGACUGGGCGUAAAGCGCACGCAGGCGGCUGCGCGCGUGGGGUGUGAAAUCUGGCCGCUUAACGGCCAGGCGCCAUCCCAUACGGCGCGGCUUGAGCCUUGCAGAGGGCGGUGGAAUUGCCGGUGUAGUGGUGAAAUGCGUAGAGAUCGGCAGGAACACCCAGGGGGAAACCAGCGGACUGGGCAUCGGCUGACGCUCAGGUGCGACAGCGUGGGGAGCGAACCGG